CUUCUGGAUCCACUUUUAGUGUGGGAGAAAGAGUUAAUUGAUCCUUAUUAUUCUAAAUUGAGUAUAGAAACUGUGGAAGCCCUCAAAUGUGGAGGAGACUAGAUCAAAAACUUGUAUGGACUGAGGGGAAAAGUAAAGGUUGUAAGUUCAUUCUAUUUAAAUUCUAGUAUAUAGCUUUCAAUUUGACUUCAACUCUUUUUGUAUUGAUUACUUUGAAUACAAGUUAUGUGUGCAUAUCUUACUUUGAGUUUUAAUAGAGGGUUGUUUACUUUGUAGGAGUAAAAUGAUGAUGAGCC
rnacentral:lncRNA from 1 species